UAUGUGAUCGUCUCUCGCAUAUCAAUAAGCGGAGGAAAAGAAACUAACAAGGAUUCCCCUAGUAACGGCGAGUGAAGCGGGAAGAGCUCAAAUUUGAAAUCUUAAAGGGUUUCCCUUUACGAAUUGUAGUUUAAAGAAGUGUUUUCUGUUGAGGUUUUGGUAAAAGUUCUUUGGAAUAGGACAUCAUAGAGGGUGAGAAUCCCGUAUUUGACCUUUACUUUCAACUUUGUGAUACACUUUCAAAGAGUCGGAUUGUUUGGGAAUGCAGUCCAAAAUGGGUGGUAAAUUUCAUCUAAAGCUAAAUAUUGGCGAGAGACCGAUAGCGAACAAGUACCGUGAGGGAAAGAUGAAAAGAACUUUGGAAAGAGAGUUAAACAGUACGUGAAAUUGUCAAAAGGGAAGCGUUUGACACCAGUGUUGUUUUUCUGAAAAUCAAUUAAAGAACUGUUUAUGCUAAGCUGUUUAGACUUUAUCAGCUAUCUGUUUAGUUUUGAGCUUUUCUUUAAUGCACUUUUCAGUUAACAAGUCAACAUCAAUUUCUUUUGCUGUAAAAAAGCUUGAGGAAGGUGGCUUGAGAUUCGUCUUAAGUGUUUAUAGCCUCUUGCCUAUGCAGUCGGAGAGAUUGAGGUCUGCAGCGUAGAUCCUUCGGGGCUAAAUGCAUUUGUGCUAAGUUAUAGCAUUUUAUAGACAACUUGUUGACUAUGAUUUGUCUUGUAGCUUACUCGCUUAUGUUAUUUUACCUACGCUUAGGAUGUUGAGCGCAUGUCUCUCUCU
rnacentral:rRNA from 1 species